CCUGCCCCGGACUGCUCUGCCACGGGGGACCCGAGAGCAUGGUCCGUGCCAGAGGCUGGGAAGGUUUGGGAUGCUUUGCAAGAGGCUGGGGUGUUUGGUGGAGGAUGAUCCAUGCAAGAGGUUGUGGGGUCUGGGGUGCUUGGUGGAGAGCAUGAUCCUUCAAGAAGCUGGGAGAGUUUGGGAUGCUUUGCAAGAGGCUGGGGUGUUUGGUAGAGAGGAUGAUCCAUGCAAGAGGUUGGGAAGGUUUGGGAUGCUUUGCAAGAGGCUGGGGUGUUUGGUGGAGGGUGAUCCAUGCAAGAGGUUGCGGGGUCUGGGGUGCUUGGUGGAGAGCAUGAUCCUUCAAGAAGCUGGGAGAGUUUGGGAUGCUUUGCAAGAGGCUGGGGUGUUUGGUAGAGGAUGAUCCAUGCAAGAGGUUGGGAAGGUUUGGGAUGCUUUGCAAGAGGCUGGGGUGUUUGGUAGAGAGGAUGAUCCAUGCAAGAGGUUGGGAAGGUUUGGGAUGCUUUGCAAGAGGCUGGGGUGUUUGGUGGAGGAUGAUCCAUGCAAGAGGUUGGGGGGUCUGUGGGGUUUGGUGGAGAGCAUGAUCCUUCAAGAAGCUGGGAGAGUUUGGGAUGCUUUGCAAGAGGCUGGGGUGUUUGGUAGAGAGGAUGAUCCAUGCAAGAGGUUGCGGGGUCUGGGGUGCUUGGUGGAGAGCAUGAUCCUUCAAGAAGCUGGGAGAGUUUGGGAUGCUUUGCAAGAAGCUGGGGUGUUUGGUGGAGAGGAUGAUCCAUGCAAGAGGUUGGGGGGGGGGGGGGUCUGGGAGCUUGGUGGAGAGCAUGAUCCUUCAAGAAGCUGGGAGAGUUUGGGAUGCUUUACAAGAGGCUGGGGUGUUUGGUAGAGAGGAUGAU